UCUAGAACUCAAGAUAUGAGCUGAAAACCGAACAGUGUUUGAGCUGCAGGACAGGUUCCGACUUCUCCGUUGUUGCUAAGAUUUGAACUUGAAAACGGCAGAAUUGAGUCUUGGACCCUCAUGAAAGUUUUAGGUCUAUGUCUUAUCUUUCCAUC
rfam:Populus trichocarpa scaffold_5_contig_257, whole genome shotgun sequence.